rnacentral:rRNA from 1 species
CUACGGGAGGCUCCAGUGGGGAAUAUUGCACAAUGGAGGAAACUCUGAUGCAGCAACGCCGCGUGGAGGAUGACACUUUUCGGAGCGUAAACUCCUUUUAUAUAGGAAGAAGAUGACGGUACUAUAUGAAUAAGCGCCGGCUAACUCCGUGCCAGCAGCCGCGGUAAUACGGAGGGCGCAAGCGUUACUCGGAAUCACUGGGCGUAAAGAGCGUGUAGGCGGAUUAAAAAGUCAGAAGUGAAAUCCUAUAGCUUAACUAUAGAACUGCUUCUGAAACUCUUAAUCUAGAAUGUGGGAGAGGUAGAUGGAAUUUCUGGUGCAGGGGUAAAAUCCGUAGAGAUCAGAAGGAAUACCGAUUGCGAAGGCGAUCUACUAGAACAUUAUUGACGCUGAGACGCGAAAGCGUGGGGAGCAAACAGGAUUAGAUACCCUUGUAGUC